rnacentral:rRNA from 1 species
AGUGAACGCUGGCGGUAGGCCUAACACAUGCAAGUCGAACGGCAGCACAGUAAGAGCUUGCUCUUACGGGUGGCGGGUGGCGGACGGGUGAGGAAUACAUCGGAAUCUACUUUUUCGUGGGGGAUAACGUAGGGAAACUUACGCUAAUACCGCAUACGACCUACGGGUGAAAGCAGGGGAUCUUCGGACCUUGCGCGAUUGAAUGAGCCGAUGUCGGAUUAGCUAGUUGGCGGGGUAACGGCCCACCAAGGCAACGAUCCGUAGCUGGUCUGAGAGGAUGAUCAGCCACACUGGAACUGAGACACGGUCCAGACUCCUACGGGAGGCAGCAGUGGGGAAUAUUGGACAAUGGGCGCAAGCCUGACCCAGCCACACCGCGUGGGUGAAGAAGGUCUUCGGGUCGUAAAGCCCUUUUGUUGGGAAAGAAAAGCAGCAGGUUAAUACCCCGCUGUUCUGACGGUACCUAAAGAAUAAGCACCGGCUAACUUCGUG